rnacentral:misc_RNA from 1 species
GAGCACGAUGAGGAGAAACCAAAGACAAAAAGUUGUUCCCAUCUUUCUAAGUAAUAAAUAUUUUGCAUUGGUGGAUAAUUCUCCAAACAAGCAUGGUUUCAGCACUUGCCAAGAAUUGCUAUCCAUCCAUGGCGUGCUUGCAGCAAUGCUUGUUCAUAGACAAUCUUCAACCAAAACAACCUCGGCAUCUUGGCGAUCCACACAGGCAUUUCUUUUUUCCAUGCAAUGAAUCAUUACCAUCAACCUCAUCCGAGCGGGAAGUCCCAUAGUCAUAAGUCAACUCUGUCA